rnacentral:tRNA from 1 species
GCAGGGCUGUGGCUCAGUGGAAGAGCCUCUGCUUUGUAUGCAGAAGUUUCCAGGUUCAAUCCCUAGCACCUUCA